rnacentral:rRNA from 1 species
CAGUAGCCGCGGUAAUACGUAGGUGGCAAGCGUUGUCCGGAAUUAUUGGGCGUAAAGGGCUCGCAGGCGGUUUCUUAAGUCUGAUGUGAAAGCCCCCGGCUCAACCGGGGAGGGUCAUUGGAAACUGGGAAACUUGAGUGCAGAAGAGGAGAGUGGAAUUCCACGUGUAGCGGUGAAAUGCGUAGAGAUGUGGAGGAACACCAGUGGCGAAGGCGACUCUCUGAUCUGUAACUGACGCUGAGGAGCGAAAGCGUGGGGAGCGAACAGGAUUAGAUACCCCAGUAGUCCCUGUCUCUUAUAC